rnacentral:rRNA from 1 species
AACGAACGCUGGCGGCAGGCUUAACACAUGCAAGUCGAGCGCCCCGCAAGGGGAGCGGCAGACGGGUGAGUAACGCGUGGGAAUCUACCCAUCUCUACGGAAUAACGCAUGGAAACGUGUGCUAAUACCGUAUACGUCCUUCGGGAGAAAGAUUUAUCGGAGAUGGAUGAGCCCGCGUUGGAUUAGCUAGUUGGUGGGGUAAAGGCCUACCAAGGCGACGAUCCAUAGCUGGUCUGAGAGGAUGAACAGCCACCCUGGGACUGAGACACGGCCCAGACUCCUACGGGAGGCAGCAGUGGGGAAUAUUGGACAAUGGGCGCAAGCCUGAGCCAGCCAUGCCGCGUGAGUGAUGAAGGCCCUAGGGUUGUAAAGCUCUUUCACCGGUGAAGAUAAUGACGGUAACCGGAGAAGAAGGCCCGGCUAACUUCGUGCCAGCAGCCGCGGUAACAC